rnacentral:misc_RNA from 1 species
GGCAGCUCCAAUCUGUGGGUGCCUUCUGCGAAGUGCUUGUUCUCUGUGGCUUGUCAUUUCCAUGCCAGAUACAAGUCAAGCCGCUCGAGUACAUACAAGAAAAAUGGGACGUCUGCUUCAAUUCGGUAUGGCACUGGAGCAGUCUCUGGUUUCUUUAGUUAUGACAAUGUCAAAGUUGGAGACCUAGUCGUAAAGAAUCAGUUGUUCAUUGAGGCAACCAGAGAACCUAGUCUUACAUUUCUGGUCGCCAAGUUUGAUGGGUUGUUGGGACUUGGUUUUCAAGAGAUCGCAGU